UACGAAGGUGGCAAGCGUUACUCGGAAUUACUAGGCGUAAAGGGCAGGUAGGUGGCCCAGCAAGUCUGUUGUGGAAGCUCCUGGCUUAACUGGGAGAGGUCAACAGAAACUGCCGGGCUUGAGUGCGGGAGAGGUCAUCGGAAUUCCCGGUGUAGCGGUGAAAUGCGCAGAGAUCGGGAGGAACACCUGUGGCGAAAGCGGAUGACUGGAACGUAACUGACACUCAACUGCGAAAGCUAGGGGAG
rnacentral:rRNA from 1 species